rnacentral:misc_RNA from 1 species
GAACAUGGUGAAUUGCUGUCUCUCCCAUGUAUAGAUCUGUUCCAUAUUUUAUGAUUACAUUGCAGGACAGGAUGCGGAAGGCUCUGGCUGGUGCACUAGUCCGUUUUUCUUCAUUUAUGAGUGAAGCUUUACCGCAUCGAAAGACCAACUUAGUAUUCUUUUAUUACAUCAAAAGAUGCUAACAAGCCAGACUUUUUCACUACUGGCUAACAACAUGUCAAUUAGCAGAAAGACCAAUUUAGUAUUCUUAUCUAGCAAGAUGAGAAGUGAA